rnacentral:rRNA from 1 species
CCUACGGGGGGCAGCAGUGAGGAAUAUUGGUCAAUGGGCGGAAGCCUGAACCAGCCAAGUAGCGUGCAGGAUGACGGCCCUACGGGUUGUAAACUGCUUUUAUACGGGAAUAACGCGCCUUACGUGUAGGGCUUUGCAUGUACCGUAUGAAUAAGGUCCGGCUAAUUCCGUGACAGCAGCCGCGGUAAGCGGGAAGGUCCGGGCGUUUUCCGGAUUUAUUGGGUGUAAAGGUAGAGUAGGCGGCAUGUCAAGCGUGCUGUGAAAUGUCCGGGCGCAACCCGGGCCUUGCAGCGCGAACUGGGGUGAUUGAGUACGCGGAGAGCAGGCGGAAUUCGUCGUGUAGCGGUGAAAUGCUUAGAUA